AGCGGCGGUAGGCAGCCGUCCGGUGUCGGGAGUUUACUUCCGGUGCUGGGAGGAAAGUCCGGACUGCGCAGGGCAGGGACCCCUCUUUUAAAGAGGGUGCCGCGGACGAUAUUCCGCGGAAAGGAAAGUGCAACAGAAAAUAUACCGCCCCGUUCAUUCGGGGUAAGGGUGAAAAGGCGGGGUAAAAGCCCGCCGGGCGCGUGUGUAAGCCGCGCCGCAUGGCAAACCCGUCCCGCAGCAAGGCCAAAUAGGGGAUGAUGCCGCUGCCCGCGGCGCUUGAAUCCCGGGUUCUGGCCGCAUAGACAGAUGGUUGCCGCUCCUUAACAGGAGAACAGGAUCCGGCUUAUUCCGCCGUUUGCC
rnacentral:RNase_P_RNA from 2 species